UUUUUUUUUUUAUCUUUUUGGUUUUUCGAGACAGGGUUUCUCUGUGUAGCUUUGUGCCUCUCCUGGAACUCACUUUGUAGACCAGGCUGGCCUCAAACUCACAGAUCCACCUGCCUCUGCCUCCUGAGUGAUGGAAUUAAAGGCGUGCGCCACCACCACCCGGCUAUAGAAAAUUUCUUAAUAAUAAUAAAAAAUCUCAGUUUGAAAUAAUCCUUAGUGAUAUGAGAAAGUCUUCAUAGCAUAAUGUUGUAUGGUGCACAUGUGGUAGGUGAUGUCAUCCCAAUUACACUAAAACAUGUUGUCACGAAGACAGUUUUGAAGAUUUCACCAUCACUGAAACCAUUGCUGUUCUGUUAUGGCUAGUGUGUCAGGGUUUAACUGGCAGUGUUCUGAGAAUUUGUGAGUCUAUAACAUAAUUGUGAAACAAUGUGUAUGCAUUGGUAGAAAAAGCUAGUUGGAAAUGUACCAAUAUCAACUAGAGCUAGGUCUUUAUAAUUAUUUUUUCUUACAUGCCAGUCUGUGAGUGCUUAUUAAGUGAGUGCAGUGCCUGCAGAGGCCAGAAGAGGGCACCAGAUCACCCUGGAGCAGGAGUUACAGACAGAAGAGAGCAGGAAUCGAACUUGAGAGUUUUUUUUUUCUUGGUUUUUUGAGACAGGGUUUCUCUGUGUAGCUUUGCGCCUCUCCUGGAACUCACUUGGUAGCCCAGGCUGGCCUCGAACUCACAAAGAUCCGCCUGGCUCUGCCUCCCGAGUGCUGGGAUUAAAGGCGUGCGCCACCACCGCCCGGCUCAUGCAGAAGUUUAAAACACUGACAGGAAGCCCCAUGACUGUCUGCUGAUCCAGGUAACUGGGAGGUUGGGGCGGGGGAUGAUGACCUCAUCGACUGCCUAGUACUGACGCAACUUGAUAAAGUGAAGUGCGUUGGCUCCCCUGCCUCCCCCAUUUUUCUCUUCUUGGGUUCCAUGCCCCCAGCCCUUCUGCCUCAGACCAUUUCCCCAAUAAACCAGUGCCCGAAAACCUUAUCUCUAGUGUUCCCUUUGAAGGGUGGGUGCAGGGUAAACUAUUUUAAAACUCUACCACUGUCUUUGUUAAAUUAUACGUGUGCUAAGUUUUUUUUUUAAUUCUUGUCUCUUCAGACUGCAGAGACCACCUCAUCAGUUAUGUGGUGGAUCAUAAGUGAUUAGUCCAGAAGCAGAAAGUUCAUGAGUCUGUAAGUAGUCAACAGGGUGGGCACUGGGGGCCGUGACCUUCCUGAGGAGAUUUCUGGUUACUCUCCCUUGACGCUACAACAACCCUAGGCAGCAGAUGUCAUUAUUGCCCUAUUUCACACAUGAGGAACAGAGCAAGAGAGAUUAGUUCACUUACCUGGGGUCUCACUGCUUUGGGAAUGAAGUGGAUUAAUUCUGAACUCUAGUCGAUUCCCAAGUUUACCUCAUCUGUUUAAUUACCCAGGCACCUUGGAGGAGUCUUCUGGGAGAAUACAGGCAGUGGAAAGGCAGCGUGAGGGGACCACUCAGGAGGCAGGUGACACAUCAUGAAAUGUGUCUGGCUCGUGAUUGUUUUUUCACUUUAUAUUGAUUCUUUGUGGAUUUCACAUUAAGCAUCCCGAUCCCACUCAUCUCUUCAUCCCCUGGCUGUGCCCUCUGCCCUUGCAACCUCCCCCACAAAGCAAAUUUAAAAGUAAAACCAACCAACCAACCAACCAACCAACCAACCAACCAAAACCAAAGCAAAAACCAAACCAACCAAACAAAAAACAAAUUAAAAAAAAAUCUCAGUGUAGAAGCUGUAGUGUGGCCCAGUGAGUCACAGAGUGUACCUUUUAGACUAGACAUCUUUACUUUUCAUUGCAAUGAGCCAUUGGUCUGGUUCAAGGCCUCUGGCUUCUGCUACACCCUGAUACUGGGCCCUCAUUAUCCUGGAUAUCCCAUUGUCCUGUGUCCAGGAGAUCCUGUAGCUUUGGAUCUGCAGGUCUGGCCCCUUCCACACUCUAGCAGUACGUAGAUGAGGUGAGUGCUGGGAUGGGCUCCCUUGUAAUCCUGGUUCUGGGCCUGGGUGGUAGCUGGGUUGGUCAGCCUGCCAGGUUUCCCUCAUCAUCACCACCUGGGCAAGCUCUCCAGCACCAUCAUCUGCCCCCUCAUCUGCCAUGUGAUGGCAAAAAAAAAUGCCUGCUGCAGGUGAGAGAGCUGGCCCCGCCCCUCACCAACUGCACACAUGGGAGAGGGGGCCCUGGACCUCGAUAGGGCAGCACACUAGCUGACCCUGUUGGGCUGGCAGGUGAGCCGGGCCUGUGGGCCUGAGAGCAGGAGAGCUGCCCCCGCCCCCUCUCGCACAUGCCAUGGGGUGGCAAGGGUAAGGGAAAUAUGCCCUCCUCUCUCUCACCCCUUGCCAUCUGUGACAGGUGGGAGAGCUGCCCAAGGGGACAUGAGAACGAGAGAGCUGCUCCUGCCCCUCACCAAGUACAGCAAUCCAGAGAGCGGGCCCUGAACCUCGCCUGGACAAAUCAGUAGAGUUGGCCCUGGUGGUGUGAGUGCGGAUGAACCGGACCUGAGAGUGUGAGAGCAGGACAACUGUCCCCACUGCUCGCUGUCUGCUACACUGGGUUGCAUAGACCUGUGGACUAUGCAGGUAGCUGGUCCUGAUGGGUGUAGUGAUGGCCAGUCUCUGGAGUAUAGCAUGAAUCUUAAAGGUUCUUAUUAAUAAAAUCAAGCCUGGUGCCAGGUAUUGGGGUGAAUGCUGGAAGAUCAGAGAACCAGAACAAGCCACAGCUACCUCACCUUGCCAAUUCCUCAACGGAUCCUGUUUCCUCAGACUGGAUGCCUCUGAGUCCUCAUCCAGAAUGAAUCUCAGCUGAACUGCUGCUCAAAGCUUAACCAGCCAAAUGCUUCUAGUUGCUGGUCUCCACGCCUUAUAUAUCUGUUUUUGUCAUCACUCCCUGAGAUUAAAGGCUCACUUCUUUGGAUUAAAGGUGUGUGUCACCAUUCCUGGCAGUUUCCAAUGUGGCCUUGAACUCAGAGAUCCAGAAGGAUUUCUACCUCUGGAAUGCUAGGAUUAAAGGUGUGAGUGCCACCAUUUUCUAGCCUUUGUAUUUAGUGGCUGUUCUGUCUCUCACCCCAGAUAAGUUUAUUAGGAUGCACAAUAUUUUGGGGAACACAAUACCACUGCACUGGAGUCACAUUAUUUACUGGCCACAUGCUUAGGAAAGGUUUAUAGAUGUUCUCAGCCUCAGUUUUCACAUACUUUAUGUUUGGAGACUCCUUCUUCAUAGGAGUGUUGUGAUAAUUAAAUGAGAUAAUAUCUUAAAAUAGAAUUGAUCUUAUAUAACACACCCACAAAUAUAUAUCAAUUUAUAUAUAUCUGUACAUUAGCCUAUUAGUGAUGUCAUAACAAAACACUCUAGGUUGGAUAGUUUAUAAACAACAGAGAUGUAUUUUUUACAGUACUGGAAGCUUAUAAAUCUGCAGUGGUCAUGGUGCCAGAAUUUCAGGUUCUCAUAAGGGCUGCUCUUUGCUCCAAGUCUGAGCAUCUCCAUGUGGAAGACAGAGGGGCAGGAAGGGCUCAGGCAGUUCCUCCAACCUUUGAUCAUGUCACUCAUUUAUUCAUGAGGACCAAAUCCCUCCUGAAGGCACCGCCUCUUAGUAUUGCAGUGUUGGGAUAAAUUUGUAGCAUGAAUUGGCAGAGUCAUAAAUGUCCAAAUCAUAGCAAUACUUUUUCUCUUUUUGUUUGUUUGAGACAGGGUCCUACAGUGCAGCCCUGUUAAGAUUUGGGAGAGUCUUAGAGUUGGGCUACAUGCAUUUUGCAUUUUGACAUGAUCAUGAGACUACAGGGCCCUGGGGUGGAAUGUUGUGAUUUAAAGUGGACCAUUGGGUUUCAAGUUGACCAGAGGUUGACUUAGGAUGCUUCAUUUUGAGUGGCAACUUGACUGGAGUAAGAAAGGACUGGGACAUCGAUGAGGUACUGCUCCCUGUGGGUCUAUGAGGGUGUUAGACUUCCGAGGCAGCUUAAAGAGACAGGAGGCAGAAAAGAGAGCAGUCAGAUGCCAGCAGACAGGACUGCUUAUUUCAGACAGCAAGGGGCAGACACAGCAGUAGAGGUGUCUGCUGAACAGGAACCGGGGUACAAACUUGGAAUUUGUACAGGGGGUUUGAAGAAUGAAGUUCAAUGCAUCUUCUGAGGCUACGUGCAAGCCUGCAGUUUCUGGAGUUGUUUGUCUGGACGAGGCUGUUUCAUCUUUAGAAAAUGUCUCCUCCCAGCUCUUAGGAUGCUGGUCAUAGUGGGCGACUGAGUUUCAACAUGGGGGCGGGGCUUUCAGCAAGCCUUAGGGAAGGAAAGUUUCUUGAUCAGCAUUUGGCAGAGUUUGCUCAAGGUUUAUUCCAACAGAGGGCAUCUCCAGAGAGGAUUAGCUGACUGAGAAGGACCUGUCCCCAGUGUGAUCACCCCAUGCCACGGGCCAAAGCCCCAGACUGAAUACAGAGGAAGAAAGGAGAAAACAAGCUGACCAUCAACAUGGUCUGCCCAGAUGUGAGAAGCUCCUGCUGCACAGCUGGGAGCCGCCACUGCUGCCAUGUCUUCCCAUCGCAGUGGGCCCACGUCCCUAGAACUGUGAGCCCGUGCAAACAUUUCCUCCUUCUUGUCAGACCUUUGCUCAUAGUAACAGGAAAAGUGACCGACACACCAUGUCACAGGUGUUUGUUAAAAUUCAGUGGCAAACAAGGAACUUCUGUGUAAAGGUGAGGGGAUAGCUGGCCAUCCUUCCAAUGUCAAAAGUACACAAGCUGGAAAAACUAUUUUCAAAAAUAACUUUUUGAAGGUGCCAAGGUCAAGGCAGUAGUGGAUUUUGACACUGUCUUAUUUCUUGACCCAGGUUGCAUCUGUUUAGUGCAAACUGAUUGAGUUGUACAUUCGGGAAGGUGUCUGUGUGUAGGAUAUGCUUCGAAAAGAAAAUGAGAUUGGAUGCUGGGAUCCUUGAUUAUAGUAUGAGAAUCAGGUAUGAAAAGACACAUAUGGCUAUUGACUGUCUUUCUGUCUUUUAGGUGUCUGUCCAGUCCUGCCCCCUGCACUUGCAGAUCUGUGUCAGAUACUUUAUAUCUUAAUUGAACUGAAAGCUCCAUUAUUUCCUGAUGCUUCUGGAAAACACAGCUUUAUUCCCCUUGAGAAACGCCAUUGGUAUGGCAAUUUCUUCCCCAUUGUUUGUAUCAAGUUGGUGGUUUUGAUGCAAUAGUUACUGCAGCCCUUGUCUCAGAAGUUCCAACAGAGUCAGCUUCAUGUGAUGGAGAUAGAAAGUCUCUACUGUAACGAGAAAAUGGCCUGCUAAACUCAGGGCUGAGUUCAAACACACCUUGAUCAUGACGCCAGUGCAGGAGUGGUGUCCUGGCAGACACUCACUGUUAAGGAGGCUUCUCCACACUCAAGUCAAGGACAGCACCAUUUGGCAAAGUAGGAAGAACCCUGAGCGGGUAACACUUUACAGUUUAGGACUGAGUGAAGAAAGGAAAAUUUUUAAAUAAAGUUUAGCUUUCUUAAAUAGAAGAUACUGUUGUACUUCACGGCCCUUCAACUGAAGGGUUAAACGGGGAAGAAGUUGUAUGUGAACAGGGACCCUGCAGGGACUUUGAACUGAGUGUCUGAAAAUGGGGGUGCUUCAGUGCCUCUCAAAAAGGGCCAGACAGCCUAGUCCUUGCCCUCAUCCUUUUGGACAACAAGGGGAUCCUUCAUAAUAAGUGAAGUAUGGCUCUUUAGAGUAUGAGUCUUUCAUUUAGGUAAACCUGAGGGUUAGGAUUGAAAAUUGGCAUUGGAAGGGGGAAAACAAGAAGAGCAGGGAGCCCCGGGGUGACCCUCAGUUUUGUCUGCCAGCCGGUCUCACACUCCAACCCAACACGUACUAAUGCCCCCAGUCUAUAGGUCUUCAGUGGACAGCUUAAGAGUCACAGUUGAGCCAGCUCAGUGACCUACAGUUUUUGUUUCAUUUUCUUUUCUUCUUUUUUAAUCAUCUGCAUAUUCCUUUUCAACAUUGGGUAUGUCAGUGCCCCCCCUCUUCAUUGGAUGGGUAAAUAGCUCAGCUACUAUCUUUACAGAAAUACAUCUUAUAGUGAGGCAAUAAAAAGAAAUUGACUCACAUGAUUGUAGAGACUGAAAGGGCCUAAGAUCUGCCAUGGGGAAGCUGGAGACCCAGGAGAACCAAUGUGAGUUUCAGUCUAAAAGCUGCAGGCUCGAAGCCCAAGCAGAGCUAAUGUUUCAGCUCACAUCUAACAGCUGGAAGAGACCGGAGAGCCUGUCACAAGUCCUGUCUCUUUCCACUGCUGGGUUCUCUGCAGGGCUUUGUGGGAGCCAGCACUUCAGAGAGGACCAUUGGCUUUACUUAGUCUGUGCAUUCAGGAUAUGAGUCUCAUCCACCAAUGCCAUUGCAGACACACCCAGAAGAAUGCUUGACCAAAUGCCUGGCGUCCCCUGGCUAGGUCAAGCUGACAUGUGAAAUUCACCAGCCAGUGUAACUCAAGGGAAAGGAGGUCUCUCCUCCAGAGGGCUUCAGCUUCAGCUUUGAAAUUGUUUUGUCCUGUUCCUUACACAUUUAUUCCUUCAACAAAUACUUCCUAAGAGACUGCAUGCAAGGCACUGUGUUGAGUACUGGGGUUCUAUUAACCAAGGAGUUUACUGGGCAGAGCAGCAGCAGCAACUGCAACAAUAACAAACCUACACGGCUUAUGUAAUGCUUUGUACAUCUGCUCUCGACAGUGUGCAUGAAAGCAGAUGUAAGAUGGCAGAGGGUUUGUUCUCAAUUAAAAAAUUAGGAAGUGUCCAUUUAUAACUUGCCUCACUGUUUGCUUGUAAUUUUAGGAGCUCUAUCUCCUCUCCUUUUUCCUCUUCCCUUCCUUCCUUCCUUCCUUCCUUCCUUCCUUCCUUCCUUCCUUCCUUCCUUCCUUCCUUCCUUCCUUUCUUUCCUGUUUUACAGACAGGGUUCUCACUAUGUAUCUCUGGCUAGCCUGGAACUCACUAUGUAGACCAAGCUGGCCCGGAGCUCACAGAAAUCCACCGGCCUCUACCUCCUGAGUUCUGGGAUUAAAGGUGUGUGCUGCCACCACACUGGC